rnacentral:rRNA from 1 species
UACAGAGGAGCCAAGCGUUGUCCGGAUUGACUGGGCGUAAAGCGCACGCAGGCGGUUGCGCGCGUGGGGUGUGAAAUCUGGCCGCUUAACGGCCAGGCGCCAUCCCAUACGGCGCGACUGGAGUGAUGCAGAGGUCGAUGGAAUUCCGGUGUAGUGGUGAAAUGCGUAGAGAUCGGCAGGAACACCCAGGGGGAAACCAGUCGACUGGGCAUCUACUGACGCUGAGGUGCGAGAGCGUGGGGAGCGAACCGG